AUCUAGCUGCGAGUCUACCAGUGUUUGGCUAGCUAGCUAGCUAGCUAGCUAGCUAGCUAGCUAGCCAAACACUGGUAGACUCGCAGCUAGCUA
rnacentral:pre_miRNA from 1 species